GAACAAUUCCUGCCCAAAACCCCGUCCUCACCUACUAUCUCAGUUUGAGGCCGUCCCCCCUUGUUCUGGCACUGCCUGCCCUGGUACAAAGUCUCUCUCCAGCUCUCUUCAGACCCGUUAGGUACUGGAGGGUGCUCCAAGGUCCCUCCAAGCCGAGCAGCUCCAGUGAGAGGGGUGCUGGUUGUGUACAGGACACCAUGGACUAGAUGUUCCCUCCACUCCUGCCCAGGACUCCUGAGGUCACGGCAGCCUGGCACCAGCCACUGCUACGUUUGUCUUGCCCUCUCGUGUUGUCACCAAAUUGACAGUUGCGGCCACUGCCCCAGUCACAUAUUCCUGCAGAAGUCAACAGCUGAAGAGCUCACAGAGAACUCCUUGUUUGACCUCCUCCUUCUCACACAGUUGGGAAAAGCAGACUGUCAUGGCAGUGAGACACCUUGGCCUUGCUACCUGAGGAAGGUCUGUAAAAGCUACAGGAGAUAGAAGCUAAAGGAGCGUAAUGGACUGCAAAGGAACCACUGAAGCUGACUCCUGCAGUUUCUUACACAGUCUCCAUUGGACUAGAACAGUGUUUUACAGCUUUUGGUGCUCAAGUAAUACCUGCCACGUUGGUACUGUUCUCCUUGCACUGCUGAAAAAGAGAAAUUAAACGGCUGGCCCCAGUUCAGAGAGGAGAUCUGUGCUUUUCAAUGGUUUCCCACUUGAAAAGUACUUUCUGUGGCACAGCUACCACAGCACCUGUGGCAUCACUGAAGUAGCUGGACCUAAGGCAGCCUUUGUGGAAGCACCUUUGUGCCACUUUUCCAGUUAAUAAACAACGAGCUCAGUCUUAGAUGUGAAUAAAUCUUCUGUAAAGUAAAGCCAUUAGACUUACCAAAAAAUGUUCUAAAAUGCAUAGUUUGAGGAAAUUUUUAAAUUAAAUUAUUAUUAAACUAUUAUUUAAUUACAGCUACCGCAGUAAAUCAACUGCAAUAUAGAGCUGUGCAUUUCUGUAGGCAGCAUGCUUCUAUGUUCUAGAAACAAAUGCAUUACUGCCUGAAGUUAUAAAUAUUUUUUGUACACUUUUUUCAUAACCCUAAUUAUUUAUGGAAAAAAGGUGUUUGGUUGUGGGGUUUUUUUGGGAUACAGCUUGUGAAAAUACAACUACUUCUUGUAAAAUGAAACUUUAUUCUAAAAUGUAUCCAAAAUUGCAAGACACAAGCACCAUUAAACAGAUAAAUAGACAUAUAUUUAUGUACAGAGAGCAUCAAAACACAAAACAAUUGUUAAUAUAAUUCUUAUACCAUUUUAAUGAGUAUCCAUCAAUAAAACUUUACAAUUUAAAGGAGACUUUUCAGUUGCAAAACAGUUGUAAAAUCAUAUGUAUAAAUUAUGUUUACUACAAUUCCAAUAACAGAGGCAAAGUAAAAUACAAAAAUAAUAAUCAAUACUGCAAAUUCAAAUACAAACCCCAAAAGUAAUGCUGCACAGGUACGUAUGUACACUGGAUGAAUUCAUGCAGCCAGGCAGUGCAACAAAUUAACUGCUGAGUUUAACUUAUCACAAAAUGGAACCACCAUGUCGGCAAACAGAAGAAAAUAUACUUUUGUAAUAAAUCAUAGUGCAUUUUGAAGUUAGACUUUAUAAAAUGAUUGUUGAGUGAUAUACUUCUAAUAUUCCCCAUGUGAUCUGAGAUCCCCCCAACUCCUUUUUUCACAAAAUAAAAUACAAAUGACAAAAGCU